UGAAACCAGGAUUAGAUACCCUAUUAUACUUUGUUUUAAAUUAUAUUACCAGGGUAGUAAACAGUUAUAAUCUUGAAACUCAAAGGAUUUGGCGGUAGCUUAGUCUGUUUAGAGGAACCUGUCCUGUAAACGACAAACCACGAAUUAUCUUACCUUGUUUUGUAAAUAAUACCAGUUUGUAUACCGUCAUUAUCAGAUAACUUUAUAAAAAUAUUAGUUAUUGUAAUAAGAAGUUCUUAGAAUAUUAGAUCAAGGUGCAGCUAAUAAUAAGGUAGAGAUGGGUUACAAUAAAUAAAAUUACUACGGAAGAAAAAUUUAAAGUUUUUUUAGAAGGAGGAUUUAAAUGUAAAAGUAUUUUAAUAAGUUACUUUGACUUUAGCUCUAAGCUAUGUACAUAUCGGCCGU
rnacentral:rRNA from 1 species